rnacentral:rRNA from 1 species
ACCAAACACUGAUCUCGUCUGAUCUCGGAAGCUAAGCAAGGUUGGGCCUGGUUAGUACUUGGAUGGGAGACAAACACCAAACACUGGUC